ACGAACGCUGGCGGCGUGCUUAACACCUGCCAGUCGAACGGAAAGGCCCUGCUUUUGUGGGGUGCUCGAGUGGCGAACGGAUGAGUAACACGUGAGUAACCUGCCCUUGACUUUGGGAUAACUUCAGGAAACUGGGGCUAAUACCGGAUAGGAGCUCCUGCUGCAUGGUGGGGGUUGGAAAGUUUCGGCGGUUGGGGAUGGACUCGCGGCUUAUCAGCUUGUUGGUGGGGUAGUGGCUUACCAAGGCUUUGACGGGUAGCCGGCCUGAGAGGGUGACCGGCCACAUUGGGACUGAGAUACGGCCCAGACUCCUACGGGAGGCAGCAGUGGGGAAUAUUGCACAAUGGGCGGAAGCCUGAUGCAGCAACGCCGCGUGCGGGAUGACGGCCUUCGGGUUGUAAACCGCUUUCGCCUGUGACGAAGCGUGAGUGACGGUAAUGGGUAAAGAAGCACCGGCUAACUACGUG
rnacentral:rRNA from 1 species